rnacentral:siRNA from 1 species
UAAGUUGCCUUUGUAGUUAUG